AAGAGUGAGUGCCCGAGUGCGAAUUAAAACUAAAGUAUAUAUUAAUUAAUUUGCCUAAUAAUUAAUUAGUUGAAGCUCAAAUAUUCCACAAUUCCACACCAACUGUACUAGAUAUGGAAGAAACUGCUCGACUACUAUCGCAAUGUGGGCUGGAUUGCUAUUUUGAUACUUUCAAGGAAAAUGCAAUAACGGAAGACGCGACGCGAGAAGAUUUGGCAACAAUUGUACCAAUACGAAACUUUGGAAGGAAUUCAGAAGUAGAAAAAUGGCACGAUUUACGUAUGUUUUCAAUGCAAAAAUUCCUAUCACCAUUACUCUCCGAUCACUUUAAAUAUGUGCAUAGGUUAUCAAAGUUAAGGCAAUUAUUUCAUAUUAUUUUUGGUUGUUUUGUAAUUGUGAUUUAAAGAGUUCAAGUGGAUUUAAUUGAAAUAAAUAUAUGCUAAUGAGGA